UUAAAUUGAAGAGUUUGAUCAUGGCUCAGAUUGAACGCUGGCGGCAGGCCUAACACAUGCAAGUCGAGCGGAAACGAGUUAUCUGAACCUUCGGGGAACGAUAGCGGCGUCGAGCGGCGGACGGGUGAGUAAUGCC
rnacentral:rRNA from 1 species